UCCCUCCGGAUUCCUUCCCACUCAGAUCUAAACAUUGGUCUGAGUGGUUAUAAAAGUAGGAAAAGUAAAACGGAAGUGGACUUGGGAUUCUUUCUUGUUAUACAAUUUCAUUUUUAAAAAGG
rnacentral:snoRNA from 1 species